GUCUUAGAGGCUGAGGCUGGCGCCCGUGGCCACAGUACAAUGGAGGGGGUGGUUAAUCUGGUUUUAGAGGAUGGCGGAUUGGCGAUGGCAGACAGAGCUCAAGUAACUGCGCCCAUAGGAGGGCGCAAGCACGCAGAGGCACGAGAAGAAAAGGAAGAGGGCCUGAGCCCGAACUUGGGGAAAUCAAUGCCCAAAGCCUGAGGGACUCUGGAGGGAGGACGGGAAAGGGCCAGAGGUUCACCCCCGAACCUCCAGUUGCUCAAGAAGCGCCGGGCGGGGCCCUGCAGUCGCUCAAGCUGCGAGGAGGACCUGAGAAGCGGGGACGCCUUCGAGGUUUUAGGGACCUGAGCUCCGGCGGCAGGUGGCGAAAAGGCCCAAGCCCAACGGCCGCCCCG
rnacentral:lncRNA from 1 species